UCGAAUGUAGCUUAGUUGGUCAGAGCGUCCGCCUGAUAUAUGGAAGACCGGCGGUCUGGCUCCACCCAUUCGAA
rnacentral:tRNA from 1 species